UACGGAGGAUCCAAGCGUUAUCCGGAUUCAUUGGGUUUAAAGGGUGCGUAGGCGGAAUGAUAAGUCAGUGGUGAAAUCCUGCAGCUUAACUGCAGAACUGCCAUUGAUACUGUCAAUCUUGAGUACAUUUGAUGAGGGCGGAAUGUGUCAUGUAGCGGUGAAAUGCUUAGAUAUGACACAGAACACCGAUUGCGAAGGCAGCUCUCAAAACUGUAACUGACGCUGAGGCACGAAAGCGUGGGUAGCAAACAGG
rnacentral:rRNA from 1 species